rnacentral:rRNA from 1 species
UCCUACGGGGCGCAGCAGUGAGGAAUAUUGGUCAAUGGUCGGGAGACUGAACCAGCCAAGCCGCGUGAGGGAUGAAGGUACAGAGUAUCGUAAACCUCUUUUGUCAGGGAACAAAGGCGGGGACGUGUCCCCGGAUGAGUGUACCUGAAGAAAAAGCAUCGGCUAACUCCGUGCCAGCAGCCGCGGUAAUACGGAGGAUGCGAGCGUUAUCCGGAUUUAUUGGGUUUAAAGGGUGCGCAGGCGGUCUGUUAAGUCAGCGGUCAAAGCCCGGGGCUCAACCUCUUCGAGCCGUUGAAACUGGUUUU